UUACGGUUUUUGUCUUUGGUCUUUGCUUCAUUUCCUGUUCUGAAUUCUAGUUUAUUAUACUCUCCAAUUGUUGUAUUUUCAAGAAAAAAAAUGGCAUAAUCAUCCAAAGAAAGAAAGCAUGCUGCUUUGGAGAACUUAUUCAUGUACUUUCUGUCUGUGAUAUCUUAGGAGGGAGCAUGGAAUAGAACAGAAAAUAAGUGGUGGCCUUCUAAUGGUGCUUGUUCCAUAGUCAAGUGAUUGAGGUUGACAAACACCAAAUUGAAGGAGAAUAUGGGAAAACCUGACAAUGAUGACACUGAUUGUGGAAUUAGAAGUAGAAAGCAAUCAGGAAAUAACAACAUGAAGAAAGGGUUGUUACAAUCAGAAGCUUUCAAGGUUUAAUUACCUAAUUGAUCAUAUGGGUGUUGCCAUUUUACUGCUUUACAACUUUUGGUUCAUGUACUUACCUUGUUGGAUCUAAAUCUGAGAGCUUUUAAUUUCUAAUUUUAGGGUAACUGCAGAUAUUUCAUUAUCACAUUGUUGCCCAUUUCUUCCACGUUACAAUUAUUGCUAAGAAAUUCAAAAUCUGAA